CCUACGGGUGGCUGCAGUGAGGAAUAUUGGUCAAUGGGCGAGAGCCUGAACCAGCCAAGUCGCGUGAGGGAGUACUGCCCUAUGGGUUGUAAACCUCUUUUGUCGGGGAGCAAAAGCCGGACGUGUCCGGCUGUGAGAGUACCCGAAGAAAAAGCAUCGGCUAACUCCGUGCCAGCAGCCGCGGUAAUACGGAGGAUGCGAGCGUUAUCCGGAUUUAUUGGGUUUAAAGGGUGCGCAGGCGGAUUUUUAAGUCAGCGGUAAAAAUUCGGGGCUCAACCCCGUCGUGCCGUUGAAACUGAUGUUCUUGAGUGGGCGAGAAGUAUGCGGAAUGCGUGGUGUAGCGGUGAAAUGCAUAGAUAUCACGCAGAACUCCGAUUGCGAAGGCAGCAUACCGGCGCCCAACUGACGCUGAAGCACGAAAGCGUGGGUAUCGAACAGGAUUAGAUACCCGUGUAGUC
rnacentral:rRNA from 1 species